CCUACGGGGGGCUGCAGUGGGGAAUAUUGCACAAUGGGCGAAAGCCUGAUGCAGCAACGCCGCGUGAAGGAAGACGGGUUUCUGCUCUUAAACUUCUAUCAACAGGGACGUAAGUAAUGACGGUACCUUAAUAAGAAGCCCCGGCUAACUACGGGCCAGCAGCCACGGUAAUACGUAGGCGGCAAGCGUUAUCCGGAAUUACUGGGUGUAAAGGGUGAGUAGGCGGCAUGGUAAGCUAGAUGUGAAAGCCUUGGGCUUAACCCGAGGAUUGCAUUUGGAACUAUCAAGCUAGAGUACAGGAGAGGAAAGCGGAAUUGCUAGUGUAGCGGUGAAAUGCGUAGAUAUUAGAAAGAACACCAGUGGCGAAGGCGGCUUUCUGGACUGAAACUGACGCUGAGGCACGAAAGCGUGGGGAGCGAACAGGAUUAGAUACCCCAGUAGUC
rnacentral:rRNA from 1 species